UACGUAGGGGGCAAGCGUUGUCCGGAUUUAUUGGGCGUAAAGCGCGUGUAGGCGGCUUGGUAGGUCAGCUGUGAAAACUCGAGGCUCAACCUCGAGCUGUCGGUUGAAACCACCUUGCUAGAGUCCGGAAGAGGAGAGUGGAAUUCCUGGUGUAGCGGUGAAAUGCGUAGAUAUCAGGAGGAACACCUGUGGUGUAGACGGCUUUCUGGACCAUAACUGACGCUGAGACACGAAAGCGUGGGUAGCAAACAGG
rnacentral:rRNA from 1 species